rnacentral:lncRNA from 1 species
AAAACACCUCAAUGACAGAAAGUGGGCCCACUAUGGCUCCACAUGCGAUGUCCACGUAGCCAAUGUUUUCGCCUCCGAAGAACUCUCCGCCUUUGCUGCUCUUCUGAAACGCCUCCUCCAACGCUGCGAGAGAUUCCAUCAGGUUUCCAGCCGCCGCCAUCCUCCCGGCGUCAUCCUUAGCUCCAGCCACCGCAUCGAUUGAUUCAAAGCCCUGUACCAUGUUCAAAAACAUUAUACACAUACUCUCAGUUUUAUUUAACAUUUUAUAAUGAACCUAAGGUGAUGGUUAUAUGAUUAAUUGAUGUUUAAAACUUUUCAUACAUACUAAAAAUUUUAAACACGUUCUUUUGAUUAUUAUCUUUUGGUUUUACCAAUAAAGUUUCACUAUUCAUAUUUUUUUAUAUUUUAAACUAAGGUGAUAGUACUUAAAACUGUUUUGUUACCUUUCCGUCAACGAAGUGAGCCCAGAAACGAGCAGAAGCACGUUCUUUGGGAUUGGAAGGGAGGAUAGAAAGCUUGGACGGCCAGGCUUCGUCUACGUACUGAACGAUGUUGAGAGAUUCGCAGAUUGAGUCAUCACCAUGGAUUAGGACAGGGACUUUCUUGUGGAUAGGAUUGGAUUUAAGAAGAAGGUCGCUCUUGGACUUCAGAACAUCGGCUUCUUCUAUGUACUCGUACUCUACUGACUUGAGGUGUAGAGCGAUUCGAGCCCUCAAGGCGAAUGGGCUUGACCAUGUACCAAUAAGCUUCACGGUAUUUUUCGAACCAUUCUGAGCCAUCUCGGUUUUUUGCCUUUUCUUUAUUUGAGUCGUGUCUCGAGAGAUGGAGCUGUCUGUUUUCUUGCUUUUUAACAUUUGAUGAAGGAUUUUUUUGCCUGUUUACCUGACUGAGUUUUGAGUGAAUAUUUAUAUAGGAACAAUUCGAUUAUACUUUAUAUGUUUAUUUCUUGAGCUUCUUUCUUUAGCUGCCAUUUUGGCGGCUGGGUUUAAUUUUUUAUUCUCAAUUCAAAGGUCUUCUUCUUUUAGAUUUAUUUAUUUUUACUUUUAGAUAAAUAAAACAGAAGAUUUUAUUUUUGAAAAGUAAGCGGUAAUUAAAUAUUAGGUGUUGGAAACUAAGGUGUUUCAAUUGGACCGGCACUGGACCACGAAAGUGUGCAGGAUUGACUGUUGACUAGUUAGUUUUUUAAUCCAACAUGAACACGAUCCAGCAACUUCCUAGGUUAUGAGUAGUUUUGUUUUCUUUUUGAUAAGGAGUAUAUUCCUUGUUAAAAACAAAUAUUUCAAAUUAACUUGCUUCUUUUCUUAAUUCACUCAGUUACCUGCAUACUGCUUUUUCUCUUUGUUUCACAUUCAUGUAUUUACUCUUUUUGUACACUGUUAAGAAUCUUCAAAGCAAAAUGCAUUAGUACUUACAAGUCACACAAGCACGCUACGAAACUUUCAAACUGAAUCAUUGUAUAAUGACAAAGACUUCAAGUGCAAAUUUCUUAUACCUACAGAUCAUGGUCAAAUAUCAAAUAACAUUAGUGUGUAUCAAUUGUGUAAAUCCAUAUUUACAAAAAAAUAGUUGUAAGCCUCAACUGACACAAACCAAUAUAUUACAGAACAGUAAAUAAGACUCAAAAUUACGUAUUAGUGGUGGUGCCUUGAAUUUUAUAUUGCUGACAUCUGCCACCUGCCGCGGAAUAAAGAUACCCAUGCCACAUGAAACAUGGACCUCUAAUCGUCAUAUUUCUUUUUGGUAUUGUAGAUUGGGUUGGAUUCAAGAAGAAGAUCGCUCUUCGAGUUCAGGACUUCUUCCAUGUACUCGUACUCUACAGACUUGAGAUGUAGAGCUACUUGAGCCCUUAAAGCGAAAGGGCUUCCCCAUGUCCCUAAUAACUUCACAGUACUGUUCAAACCGCUCUGAGCCAUCUGAGACUUUACUUUCUUAUCUUAGUUUGAGUUGUGUCUUGAGAUGGAGUUGUUUUGGAUGAGUAUUUAUUUUAAUUGUCGUAUGAAGGAACAAUUCGAUUAUUAUGUCUCUUUCUUGAGUUUCUUCUCCAGCUGGCAUGUUGGCGGCUGAGUAUAUUUUUUAAUUAAGGUCUUAAUUCUAGAUUUGAUUUUUGAAAAGUUACAACCAAAGAUUAGUCGCUGGAAAUGAGAUGGUUUCUAUUUCCCGGCGCUUGACUUUGGAAGCGUGUCACGAUUGACUGUUGACAAAGUUUCAAUUUCACUGGCGCUUGACUUUAGAGUUUAGAACGAUCCUCCUAAGUUAUAGGGGAUUUCAAAUUGGGGUAAUAGUACAUGCAAAAGUUUUGUAAGUCCAAAUUCUAUUUAUUUAUUUGAUGAAUUGCUUAUGGAUUUAGCUGAGAAAGUGUUGUGUUUCGUUUCGUUUCGUUUCGUUUCGUUUCAAUUUUAGUCUUUGUUUGUAUGUGUCCUGCUCUAUUAAGCUUCGACUUUCACUUUGGGCUUAGUCUAUGAGGAUUUUUAUGUAUUCUACCGAGUUUAAUACCUCAAUCAUAUAUUUUAACUACUGUCAUCAACGAUAACCGGAUGACAGAAAAAGAGGAAGUUAAAUUAUACACUGAUUCAUCUCAAAAUUGUGACUCUAAACGUAUAUACAGUAUAAAUUCCAUAAAUUAAUAUUCAAUAAAUUAAUAAAUUUUACCGAUGCUGAAUUGGACCGAUUCAAAAUAUAACGUAGAUAGAUAAAAUAAUAAGAUAAUAUUUUAAAAAAAAAUUCUAUGUAAAUAUAUGGUCUCAUCUAGUCCCAAUAAAAUCAUUAAUUAAUAAUCUAUCUAUAUAUAAAUUUUAUAUAAGUAUAAACUAAAUAUUAUAUUGUUUGUUUUAUAUUCACAGUAAAAUUAUCUCUAUUUUUUUAAAAAAAAAAAAUCAAAAUAUUUUGAUAAUAUUUAGUAAAAUUAUAUCGAAAAUCACAUUUGAAUUCUAUGAAGCAUAAAAAUAUACACCAAAUAAUGUAGUAAAAAAAUAUGAAAGUCUAAUUUCUAAAAUUUAAUUAAUGUAUAUACAGUAAAAUUAACUAUUUCGUAUUUUAUAAAUAAAAAUAAAAAUAAAAUCUAAAAAGUAUUUUUAUAAAUUAAUAACUCUAUAAAUUAAUAUAAUAUCAUGGUUCCAUCAUUAUUAAUUUAUAGAGUUUUUACUGUAUAUUCUUUCUACUUCAACUCAACUCUAAAGUGAUGUUUUCUCUCGAAUGAAUAUUAAAUGCUUAUGUUUUAGGAAUUUACUUUAUUAUUGAUUGAAUUAUGUUUAGCUAGACGAUAAAUAAUGUUUUAAUUUAGGAAAAAACCUUAAAUGCUUUUGUAUAUGUAUACCAAAAACUUUAAACAUGAAAUAAAUGAUAUAUUCAUACAUGUAAUUAGAUUAUAUUUUAUGGAACUGAAAUUAGGAUGAUAGUAAUGUGUUUUCUUUUAUAAUAAUAAGGUAUCUUAAUGCCUAUGAAUGGGUGGGGUUUGUCCAACCUUUGUGGGAGUGGUCAGCGAAGCUUUAAUGCUACAUUGUUCAAGGUUGGUCUCGUCUGAUUUCAAUCGACUCUAAAGUAAUGUGCAUAGAUUGUAAGCAACCCAAGCAUGGUGUUUAUUAUAUUAUUAUUACAUAUCUUGCAACUAGUAACUCUUACAACAACGUUUUUGGCAAAACAUAAAUCAGAUUCCAACACAUUAAAGAUUUUCCUUUUAAAGUCAUUUCUGAUCUCACUGAACAUUGAACUUUUGUUUGGCAAACUCGACAAACUCAGCAACGGUAGGCAUGUAAGGUUUCACAGCUUCAUGGGCUCUGAAUCUCUCGGCCCAUUGGACCAAGCCCGGUGUUGUAUCUGGACUCAAAAACUUUACACCUGAAAACACCUCAAUGACAGAAAGUGGGCCCACUAUGGCUCCACAUGCGAUGUCCACGUAGCCAAUGUUUUCGCCUCCGAAGAACUCUCCGCCUUUGCUGCUCUUCUGAAACGCCUCCUCCAACGCUGCGAGAGAUUCCAUCAGGUUUCCAGCCGCCGCCAUCCUCCCGGCGUCAUCCUUAGCUCCAGCCACCGCAUCGAUUGAUUCAAAGCCCUGUACCAUGUUCAAAAACAUUAUACACAUACUCUCAGUUUUAUUUAACAUUUUAUAAUGAACCUAAGGUGAUGGUUAUAUGAUUAAUUGAUGUUUAAAACUUUUCAUACAUACUAAAAAUUUUAAACACGUUCUUUUGAUUAUUAUCUUUUGGUUUUACCAAUAAAGUUU